rnacentral:antisense_RNA from 1 species
CUGUUAGCGGGAAGAAAUCAACGUCUUUGGCUUGUUUGGAAGCUACAGCCGCUGUCAAAACAACAGUAUCUCCAUAGCGCACUAGUACCGCGCCAUUUGCUUGUUUGGCUAAUUGACCUAUCUCAACAGAUAGUGGGCGGCCACCCCAAAUUGUUUCAAAGACUUUUUUUUCUGAUAUCAUAUUUGCAUUCUCCUUUUAUCUUUACAAAAACGCGAACGGUCUACUAAACAAAUGUCAAUCAUUUCACAAUUCAAAUAACUCACAUUUG